rnacentral:rRNA from 1 species
AUUGAACGCUGGCGGCAGGCUUAACACAUGCAAGUCGAACGAGUGGCGGACGGGUGAGUAAUGCUUGGGAAUCUCGCUUAUGGAGGGGGAUAACUACGGGAAACUGUAGCUAAUACCGCGUACUAUAGGAUGAGCCCAUGUGGGAUUAGGUAGUUGGUGAGGUAAAGGCUCACCAAGCCGACGAUCUCUAGCUGGUCGGAGAGGAUGACCAGCCAAACGGGGACUGAGACACGGCCCAGCCUCCUACGGGAGGCAGCAGUGGGGAAUAUUGCGCAAUGGGGGCAACCUGACGCAGCCAUGCCGCGUGAAUGAAGAAGGCCUUCGGGUUGUAAAGUUCUUUCGGUCGCGAGGCGUUAGCUGCAGAAGAAGCACCGGCUAACUCCGUGCCAGCAGCCGCGGUAAUAC